GACGAACGCUGGCGGCGUGCCUAACACAUGCAAGUCGAACGGAACUGUUUUGAGAGAUUUCUUCGGAAUGAAGUUGAUUUAGUUUAGUGGCGGACGGGUGAGUAACGCGUGAUUAACCUGCCGUCAAGAGGGGAAUAACAUUCUGAAAAGAAUGCUAAUACCGCAUGACAUAUCGGAACCACAUGGUUUUGAUAUCAAAGAUUUUAUCGCUUGAAGAUGGACUCGUGUACGGUUAGUUAGGUGGUGAUGGAACGGCUCACCAAGACCGCGAUCGGUCGCAGGACUGCGAGGUCGCGCGGCCACCUUGGGCCUGAGACACGGCCCAGGAUUCUUCGGGAAGGAGCAGUAGGGGGUAUUGCGCAAUGCGCGCAAGUCUGAAGCAGCUACGCCGCGUGAAGGAUGAAGGUUUUCGGAGUGUAACCUUCUUUUAUUAAGGACGAAAAAUGACGGUACUUAAUGAAUAAGCUCCGGCUAACUACGUG
rnacentral:rRNA from 1 species